CUGGUGGCGAGCGGCGAACGGGUGAGUAAUAUAUCGGAACGUGCCCAGUCGUGGGGGAUAACGCAACGAAAGCUGUGCUAAUACCGCGUACGAUCUCUGGAUGAAAGCGGGGGACUCGUAAGAGCCUCGCGCGAUUGGAGCGGCCGAUAUCAGAUUAGCUAGUUGGUGGGGUAAAGGCCCACCAAGGCGACGAUCUGUAGCUGGUCUGAGAGGACGACCGGCCACACUGGAACUGAGACACGGUCCAGACUCCUACGGGAGGCAGCAGUGGGGAAUUAUGGACAAUGGGCGCAAGCCUGAUCCAGCAAUGCCGCGUGCAGGAUGAAGGCCUUCGGGUUGUAAACUGCUUUUGUACGGAACGAAAAGGUCUGCCUUAAUACGGUGGGCCCAUGACGGUACCGUAAGAAUAAGCACCGGCUAACUACGUGCCAGCAGCCGCGGUAAUACGUAGGGUGCGAGCGUUAAUCGGAAUUACUGGGCGUAAAGCGUGCGCAGGCGGUUAUAUAAGACAGAUGUGAAAUCCCCGGGCUCAACCUGGGACCUGCAUUUGUGACUGUAUAGCUAGAGUACGGUAGAGGGGGAUGGAAUCCCGCGUGUAGCAGUGAAAUGCG
rnacentral:rRNA from 1 species